UACGAGGGGGGCGAGCGUUGUUCGGAAUUAUUGGGCGUAAAGGGUGCGUAGGCGGUUUGGUAAGUCUUGUGUGAAAUCUACAGGCUCAACUUGUAGUCUGCACGAGAAACUGCCGGGCUUGAGUGUGGGAGAGGUGAGUGGAAUUCCUGGUGUAGCGGUGAAAUGCGUAGAUAUCAGGAAGAACACCCGUGGCUAAGGCGGCUCUCUAGUACGGUACUGACGCUGAGACGCGAAAGCGUGGGGAGCGAACAGG
rnacentral:rRNA from 1 species